GACGAACGCUGGCGGCGUGCUUAACACAUGCAAGUCGAGCGGAAAGGCCCUUCGGGGUACUCGAGCGGCGAACGGGUGAGUAACACGUGAGUAACCUGCCCCAGACUUUGGGAUAACCCUCGGAAACGGGGGCUAAUACCGGAUACGACACAGCUUCGCAUGGGGUCUGUGUGGAAAGUUUUUCGGUUUGGGAUGGGCUCGCGGCCUAUCAGCUUGUUGGUGGGGUGAUGGCCUACCAAGGCGACGACGGGUAGCCGGCCUGAGAGGGCGACCGGCCACACUGGGACUGAGACACGGCCCAGACUCCUACGGGAAGCAGCAGUGGGGAAUAUUGCACAAUGGGCGGAAGCCUGAUGCAGCGACGCCGCGUGAGGGAUGACGGCCUUCGGGUUGUAAACCUCUUUCAGCAGGGACGAAGCGUAAGUGACGGUACCUGCAGAAGAAGCGCCGGCCAACUACGUG
rnacentral:rRNA from 1 species